UGACCUUGGAAAGUUGGGAGUUGAGGAAUUGCACUGGCCCUUCUUUUCAUUGUGAUUUGUUUUCUCGAAUAUGUGGAUGUUCUACCAUGUGGCCAGCGUUCUAGCGGUUGGACAUCAUUUUAUAUUCAUUUGUUGCCGAGUCGUUUACUCUUUGGAGCCCAUAAAUUACAAUAAAAGUUCACGCUAAUAAACGAAGUGACAGCAGUCGGACUUUUUGUUACUCCCCUGGGCAGAGGCAGCAAUAGUGAACGUUUAUUGACUGCUUGAAGACCCCAUUGAACUCUAGCGACUGGCGUUCAUCCUUCUGCUCUCGUGGAAAGAAGUCUACCAACGGACGCCUACACUGUAAGACCUAAUCUGUUGUGACUUGUAAUUUACCAUUUGAAACGUGGUUUUGUUUAAAGAGUAUUGUUAGUUUACAGCCAUGGCAUCAGUAGAAGCGUGUCGUAAGGUCCGUUCAAUUGAAAAGACACAGGUC